CCCUUAGAUGUCCUGGGCCGCACGCGCGCUACACUGAUGCAUUCAACGGGUUUUACCUUGGCCGAGAGGCCUGGGCAAUCUUUUAAACCUGCAUCGUGAUAGGGAUAGAUUAUUGCAAUUAUUAAUCUUGAACGAGGAAUUCCUAGUAAACGCAGAUCAUCAAUCUGCAUUGAUUACGUCCCUGCCCUUUGUACACACCGCCCGUCGCACCUACCGAUUGAAUGGUCCGGUGAAGCCUCGGGAUUGUGGCCAGUUCACUUUAUUGGGAGUUGGCUGCGAGAACUUGUCUAAACCUUAUCAUUUAGAGGAAGGUGAAGUCGUAACA
rnacentral:rRNA from 1 species